GGACCAAGGAGUCUAGCAUGUGCGCGAGUCAUUGGGAUACUGACUAAACCUAAAGGCGCAAUGAAAGUGAAGGUCCGCCUUGCGCGGGCCGAGGGAGGAUGGGCGGUCCCGAGGGACCGCCUCGCACUCCCGGGGCGUCUCGUUCUCAUCGCGAGAAGAGGCGCACCCAGAGCGUACACGCUGGGACCCGAAAGAUGGUGAACUAUGCCUGGUCAGGACGAAGUCAGGGGAAACCCUGAUGGAGGUCCGUAGCGAUUCUGACGUGCAAAUCGAUCGUCGGAACUGGGUAUAGGGGCGAAAGACUAAUCGAACCAUCUAGUAGCUGGUUCCCUCCGAAGUUUCCCUCAGGAUAGCUGGCGCUCGCUUCUCGCGAGUCUCAUUCGGUAAAGCGAAUGAUUAGAGGCAUUGGGGUCGAAACGGCCUCAACCUAUUCUCAAACUUUAAAUGGGUGAGAUCUCCGGCUUGCUUGAACUGUGAAGCCGCGAGAUAUCGGAUCAGAGUGCCAAGUGGGCCACUUUUGGUAAGCAGAACUGGCGCUGUGGGAUGAACCAAACGCCGAGUUAAAGCGCCUAAAUCGACGCUUAUGGGAUACCAUGAAAGGCGUUGGUAACUUAAGACAGCGGGACGGUGGCCAUGGAAGUCGGA
rnacentral:rRNA from 1 species